UGCUCGAGUGGCGAACGGGUGAGUAACACGUGAGUAACCUGCCCUUGACUUUGGGAUAACUUCAGGAAACUGGGGCUAAUACCGGAUAGGAGCUCCUGCUGCAUGGUGGGGGUUGGAAAGUUUCGGCGGUUGGGGAUGGACUCGCGGCUUAUCAGCUUGUUGGUGGGGUAGUGGCUUACCAAGGCUUUGACGGGUAGCCGGCCUGAGAGGGUGACCGGCCACAUUGGGACUGGGAUACGGCCCAG
rnacentral:rRNA from 1 species